ACCUGCUUCCUAUAGCACACACCAACCUGCGACCUCCACGACGACUUCUUCCCUGCCGCCUCCUCACCUGACCCGAGCAGUGACCAACAGGGGGCGGACGACAGCCGGCCUCCCGCAGCCGCGGCCAGAAGCCCACGGCGGAGGGGGAGCCCACGGCGAAGAGGGAGAAGUCCGUGGAGACGUACGCGAUGGGGCUGGUCAGCAACGUCCGCGACGGCGUGAUGGCUUCUGCUGCCUGUUCCUCGGCUGCCGACGCGCUCUGGCGCCGUUGGAAGACUUCUCCUUCCUCACGCGUCCAAGCUCGAGCUCCAGUGGCGGUGCCGGCGAUCUAGAGUGGGAGCAACUGCGCGUUAGAGGACCUUGUCAACACCGCUGGGAUGAAAUUGAUAAUCUGAAUACACCAAGGGUAAUUUUCUGAUUUACUGCAUAAUUGUACUCGGCUGCCUGUUCCUCGGCUGCCGACGCGCUCUGGCGCCGUUGGAAGACUUCUCCUUCCUCACGCGUCCAAGCUCGAGCUCCAGUGGCGGUGCCGGCGAUCUAGAGUGGGAGCAACUGCGCGUUAGAGGACCUUGUCAACACCGCUGGGAUGAAAUUGAUAAUCUGAAUACACCAAGGGAAGAGAGGGAUCCAGAAUCUUUUUGUACUUUCAAAGAGCGUUUGUGUUAUUUACAGAAAACAGAGCAUGGUAGAGUAUGCUUUGGUAGAUCAGGGAUUCAUAGGUGGGGUCUUUUUGCUCGGAGAGACAUUCAAGAAGGAGAAAUGGUCCUUGAGUAUCGCGGUGAGCUGGUCAGAUGAAGUGUAGCUGACUUACGGGAAGAAAAAUACCGUGUGCAAGCCAAGGAUUGCUAUCUUUUCAAGAUCAGUGAGGAAGUGGUUGUUGAUGCCACAGACAAAGGAAACAUGGCACGACUGAUCAAUCAUUCUUGCACACCAAACUGCUAUGCGAGGAUUAUGAGUGUUGGACAUGAUGAAAGUCGUAUUGUUCUAAUAGCCAAGAAAAAUGUUUGUGCUGGUGAUGAGCUAACGUAUGACUACCUGUUUGAUCCAGAUGAGGGUGAUGAACGCGAAGUGCCAUGCCUUUGCCAGACUGCUAACUGCCGGAAAUUCAUGAAUUAGUUUACUUAGAUGUUAGAGGAUCACUGACAGUCUUUCUUUCUUAUUUACCCCCGUUUUUGGUAUAUAUUGAUCCUUCCCUAUUUUUUGUUUACAUUCAUUUUAGAAUAAGUUUAGUUAGAGCUCAAAAGUCGAGCUUCCAUUCCUGUUAAUACCACAGUUGUAUUCACUACGGCCAGUUCAUUCUUUAAAUAAAUUUUUUUGUACCAUGUUUA